rnacentral:tRNA from 1 species
AAAAAAUUAGUUAAACCCAAAAAUAACAUUAGUUUGUCAAACUAAAAUUAUCUUAAUUAAAGAUAUUUUUUA